GCGCGACUGGUGAAACGGUAGCCACGCGAGACUCAAAAUCUCGUGCUCGUGAGAGCGUCCCGGUUCGAGUCCGGGGUCGCGCA
rnacentral:tRNA from 1 species